UACGUAGGGGGCAAGCGUUAUCCGGAAUUACUGGGCGUAAAGGGUGUCUAGGCGGCAAGGCAGGUCUUGCGUGAAAGCUCCCGGCUCAACUGGGAGAGCGCGCAGGAAACCUUCUGGCUAGAGACUCGGAGGGGGGUGUGGAAUUCCCGGUGGAGUGGUGAAAUGCGUUGAGAUCGGGAGGAACACCAGGAGCGAAGGCGGCACCCUGGCCGAGGUCUGACGCUGAAGCACGACAGCGGGGGGAGCAAACGGG
rnacentral:rRNA from 1 species